UGCUUAACACAUGCAAGUCAAGGGGGCCCAGCAAUGGGCAACCGGCGAACGGGUGCGUAACACGUGAGCAACCUACCGAACUGUGGGGGAUAGCCGGCCUAACGGCCGAGUAAUACCGCAUACGCUUUCAGUGAGGCAUUUCAUUGAAAGGAAACCUACGGGACAGAUCGAGGGGCUCGCGGCCUAUCAGCUAGUUGGCGAGGUAACGGCUCACCAAGGCAACGACGGGUAGCUGGUCUGAGAGGAUGGCCAGCCACAUUGGGACUGAGAUACGGCCCAGACUCCUACGGGAGGCAGCAGUGGGGAAUCUUGCGCAAUGGCCUAACGGCUGACGCAGCGACGCCGCGUGUGGGAUGAAGCUCCUCGGAGUGUAAACCACUGUUGCCCGGGACGAAUAGCUCGAUUAAUCGAGCCUGACGGUACCGGGUGAGGAAGCACCGGCUAACUCCGUGCCAGCAGCCGCGGUAAUACGGGGGGUGCGAGCGUUGUCCGGAAUCACUGGGCGUAAAGGGCGCGUAGGUGGUUUGAUAAGGGUGUGGUGAAAGUCCGGGGCUCAACCCCGGAUCUGCCGUGCCGACUGUCAAACUCGAGGGCUGUAGAGGCAGGCGGAAUUCCGGGUGUAGCGGUGGAAUGCGUAGAGAUCCGGAGGAAGACCGGUGGCGAAGGCGGCCUGCUGGGCAGUUUCUGACACUGAUGCGCGACA
rnacentral:rRNA from 1 species